CGACAACCCCACCGGCGCCGCCGCUGCCGCCUCGCCGCCGUCCGAUCUGGAUACGAUCGACCCGAUUCUCCUCCUCCUCCGCUUCCUCCCCUACGGCUUCCUCCGCCCCCCGCGCCUCCGCCUGAAGCUCCCCUCUGUCUCCCUCCCCUCCCCCAUGACCGUCUAUGCCCUCGUCCUCCUCACCUACUUCGCCGUCGUCUCCGGCCUCGUCUACGACGUCAUCGUCGAGCCCCCGGGCAUCGGCAGCACCCAG
rnacentral:misc_RNA from 1 species